AUUGAACGCUGGCGGAAUGCUUUACACAUGCAAGUCGAACGGCAGCACGGACUUCGGUCUGGUGGCGAGUGGCGAACGGGUGAGUAACAUAUCGGAACAUAUCCAAUAAUGGGGGAUAACUAAUCGAAAGGUUGGCUAAUACCGCAUACGCCCUACGGGGGAAAGCAGGGGAUCUUCGGACCUUGCGUUAAUGGAGCGGCUGAUAUCUGAUUAGCUAGUUGGUGAGGUAAAGGAUCACCAAGGCGACGAUCAGUAGCUGGUCUGAGAGGACGACCAGCCACACUGGAACUGAGACACGGUCCAGACUCCUACGGGAGGCAGCAGUGGGGAAUUUUGGACAAUGGGCGCAAGCCUGAUCCAGCCAUUCCGCGUGAGUGAAGAAGGCCUUCGGGUUGUAAAGCUCUUUCGCAAGGGAAGAAAACUUACUUUCUAAUAAAGAGUGAGGUUGACGGUACCUUGAUAAGAAGCACCGGCUAACUACGUGCCAGCCGCCGCUGUAA
rnacentral:rRNA from 1 species